UACGUAGGGGGCAAGCGUUGUCCGGAUUUAUUGGGCGUAAAGAGCGUGUAGGCGGCCAGGUAGGUCCGUUGUGAAAACUCGAGGCUCAACCUCGAGACGUCGGCGGAAACCCUCUGGCUAGAGUCCGGAAGAGGAGAGUGGAAUUCCUGGUGUAGCGGUGAAAUGCGCAGAUAUCAGGAAGAACACCCGUGGCGAAAGCGGCAUCCUGGACCGGCAUUGACGCUGAGGCGCGAAAGCCAGGGGAGCAAACGGG
rnacentral:rRNA from 1 species